rnacentral:rRNA from 1 species
UGUAUAAUGGGUCAGCGACUUAUAUUCUGUAGCAAGGUUAACCGAAUAGGGGAGCCGAAGGGAAACCGAGUCUUAACUGGGCGUUAAGUUGCAGGGUAUAGACCCGAAACCCGGUGAUCUAGCCAUGGGCAGGUUGAAGGUUGGGUAACACUAACUGGAGGACCGAACCGACUAAUGUUGAAAAAUUAGCGGAUGACUUGUGGCUGGGGGUGAAAGGCCAAUCAAACCGGGAGAUAGCUGGUUCUCCCCGAAAGCUAUUUAGGUAGCGCCUCGUGAAUUCAUCUCCGGGGGUAGAGCACUGUUUCGGCAAGGGGGUCAUCCCGACUUACCAACCCGAUGCAAACUGCGAAUACCGGAGAAUGUUAUCACGGGAGACACACGGCGGGUGCUAACGUCCGUCGUGAAGAGGGAAACAACCCAGACCGCCAGCUAAGGUCCCAAAGUCAUGGUUAAGUGGGAAACGAUGUGGGAAGGCCCAGACAGCCAGGAUGUUGGCUUAGAAGCAGCCAUCAUUUAAAGAAAGCGUAAUAGCUCACUGGUCGAGUCGGCCUGCGCGGAAGAUGUAACGGGGCUAAACCAUGCACCGAAGCUGCGGCAGCGACGCUUAUGCGUUGUUGGGUAGGGGAGCGUUCUGUAAGCCUGUGAAGGUGUGCUGUGAGGCAUGCUGGAGGUAUCAGAAGUGCGAAUGCUGACAUAAGUAACGAUAAAGCGGGUGAAAAGCCCGCUCGCCGGAAGACCAAGGGUUCCUGUCCAACGUUAAUCGGGGCAGGGUGAGUCGACCCCUAAGGCGAGGCCGAAAGGCGUAGUCGAUGGGAAACAGGUUAAUAUUCCUGUACUUGGUGUUACUGCGAAGGGGGGACGGAGAAGGCUAUGUUGGCCGGGCGACGGUUGUC